rnacentral:rRNA from 1 species
CCUACGGGAGGCAGCAGUGGGGAAUUUUCCGCAAUGGGGGAAACCCUGACGGAGCAACGCCGCGUGGAGGAUGAAGGCCCUCGGGUCGUAAACUCCUGUCGAUCGGGAAGAAGGCGUCCGACCUAAUACGUCGGUUCGUUGACUGUACCGGUGGAGGAAGCCACGGCUAACUCUGUGCCAGCAGCCGCGGUAAGACAGAGGUGGCAAGCGUUGUUCGGAAUUACUGGGCGUAAAGGGCGCGUAGGCGGCUCGUCAAGUCCCGUGUGAAAGCCCCCGGCUCAACUGGGGAACUGCGCGGGAAACUAGCGGGCUUGAGUUCGGGAGAGGGAAGCGGAAUUCCGGGUGUAGCGGUGAAAUGCGCAGAUAUCCGGAGGAACACCAGUGGCGAAGGCGGCUUCCUGGACCGACACUGACGCUGAGGCGCGAAAGCUAGGGGAGCGAACGGGAUUAGAUACCCCGGUAGUCCUAGCCCUAAACGUUGAGCACUGGGUGUAGGGGGUAUGAACCCCCCCUGUGCCGAAGCUAACGCAUUAAGUGCUCCGCCUGGGGAGUACGGUCGCAAGGCUGAAACUCAAAUGAAUUGACGG